GACGAACGCUGGCGGCGUGCUUAACACAUGCAAGUCGAACGGAAAGGCCCUGCUUUUGUGGGGUUCUCGAGUGGCGAACGGGGGAGUAACACGUGAGUAACCUGCCCUUGACUUUGGGAUAACUUCAGGAAACUGGGGCUAAUACCGGAUAGGAUCUCCUGCUGCAUGGUGGGGGUUGGAAAGUUUCGGCGGUUGGGGAUGGACUCGCGGCUUAUCAGCUUGUUGGUGGGGUAGUGGCUUACCAAGGCUUUGACGGGUAGCCGGCCUGAGAGGGUGACCGGCCACAUUGGGCCUGCGAUACGGCCCAGACUCCUACGGGAGGCAGCAGUGGGGAAUAUUGCACAAUGGGCGGAAGCCUGAUGCAGCAACGCCGCGUGCGGGAUGACGGCCUUCGGGUUGUAAACCGCUUUCGCCUGUGACGAAGCGUGAGUGACGGUAAUGGGUAAAGAAGCACCGGCUAACUACGUG
rnacentral:rRNA from 1 species